rnacentral:lncRNA from 1 species
GUAAUAAAGCAACAGUGGGCCACAGGUGUCUCUGAGCGGGGUAGAUGAGGAGAUCAGGCUGUAAGAGGUACUGGUUCCUGUGGGACCAGAGGGGAGAUGAGGGACUGGUCUGAGUCUCAGGGGAAUUCAUUUGCAUAUCUCGACUCCUACCUGGUGCCAAGCAUGGGAGGGGACAUAGAUAGGGCCCUAGCUGUGGAUAGCAGAGUCUGGGAGACCUUGAGUAAGUUGCUAGGAAUGGGAUUCUGACAUGGAACUAUAGGGAUCCUAAGGAGUGGAUGGUAAUACUAACAGGCACAGCAGACCCCAGAGGUGCCAGAGGAUCAGGAUUCAAACAUACCCCACUCCAUCCAACCUAUUUUUGGUUCCACCAGUCCAAUGCCCACACCAGAGAGAGAGAGAAACCUCGCCAGCUUCCUUCACAGUCAGAAACACUCUUGCCACAGGCAUGGGUGGGCCCUGCGGUUUCAAGGGACAAGAUGGGCAAGCAGGAAAGAGAAGGGGGGGGGGCUGCCGGCCUGUCAGAAGCAGCUAUGGAAUCCAGGCCCUUUGCCCGAAAGAUGCUAAGCACAUCAAGUUGGUCUCUGUGGAGACGGCAGAGGUGCUUGGAGGAGUGGUACAUCAUGAUGCCAAAGUAUUAGAAGGAGAGGAGUGGGUGGGUGAGGGCAUGGCCCGGGGCCAGGGACCUAAUCGCAAUGGAGACUGUCCCCACUGAACCCCCUCCCACCCUCACUCCUGGGCUGGACUUUGAACUCAGGGGACUAGAAUGAAGCAAGCAAGCAAGAGGAUGCCCCUAUCUCUCUCCCUGGGGAGAAAUGUCAAGCUAGGUGACCUGUUCAGAUAGAUGAUGAAAGGGCCCCUCAAAGGUAAUGUCCCUUUAGCCCACACCUAGAGGACAUUUAGAGAAGGGCGUGAAGUGCCACAGGAGACUGAGUCUCAGAGCCGAGCGCUGACUGAAUACAGGGUCCGGCCCCCAGGAGGUCAACCUCAGUGGACUUGGAAUGUCCCUCGGAAGAAAACAGCAAGUGUGGAAUGGGCAUAAAUGGGCAAAGACAGUGUCCGACAGCUUCCCAUGCAGAGCUUCAAGGACUUGAGUCCCCUACUGUGGAGGGUUUCGGCUUGGCCUUCUUCACAGCGCCUGCCUCCCCCAGAGACCCUUGUAGGGGGAAACCCAGAGAGUCUUGUAGGAGUCGGUCUUAGACUGGAGCUUUUAGCCUUGGAGAGCAGCCCAGAAACAGACCCCGGGAGGGCAGGAGGCAUGAACUAGCAGAAGUGGGGGUAGGGGGUUCUGCUGGGUCUAGAGGAGUAUCCCAGGUGGGAGCUGGAACUGAGCCUGGACAGGAGCUGAGGGAGACCUGUCUACAGGUGCAAUUCGUGCGGCUCCAGCCGACAGCAGCCCCAGGUUGGGGCUCCGAGACGGCGCCCAGGCGCUGCAGCCGUCCUACCCGCCGGUGCGGGGCGCCCCAGCCCGUGCGGGGUGCCCCAGCCCUCGCGGGGCCGCGCUUACCUGGGCUGGCCGCCUCCGGGUCCCGGUACAUGGUCCCCUUCGUCGCCGGCUCCCUCCGGGCUCCUCAGAGCCGCCUGCGGCCGCGCGCUUCUCUGCCGCCGCUGCAGGGCAUGGGGCCGGGCGACCCCCGGGGGCGGGUCCGAGGGCGGGGGCCGCGCGGGCUGCACGGAGCCGCGGAGCCGGGGAGCGGGGGCCGCCCGCCAGCCCUCCGGGCCGCCCGCGGAGCACGCUGCCGCCGCCGCCGAGCUGCGCGGAGCCUCCUCCCUCUGGCCUGCGCGCCGCGUGUGCGCGCCGGAGCGUGUGUGAGUGUGUACGAGACGGGGUGUGUGUGUGUGUGUGUGUGUGUGUGGGUAUGUGUGUGUAUGUAUGUGUGUGCGUGCGUGUGUGAGUGAGUGUGUGU